rnacentral:rRNA from 1 species
UGCCAGCAGCCGCGGUAAUACGUAGGGUGCGAGCGUUAAUCGGAAUUACUGGGCGUAAAGCGUGCGCAGGCGGCUCUUUAAGACAGGUGUGAAAGCCCCGAGCUCAACUUGGGAACUGCGCUUGUGACUGGAGAGCUAGAGUGUAGCAGAGGGGGAUAGAAUUCCUGGUGUAGCAGUGAAAUGCGUAGAUAUCAGGAGGAAUACCGAUGGCGAAGGCAGUCCCCUGGGUUAACACUGACGCUCAUGCACGAAAGCGUGGGGAGCAAACAGGAUUAGAUA